GGAAGGGUGGCCGAGCGGCUUAAGGUACUUGCUUGGAAAGCAAGCGUACAAGAAAUUGUACCGAGGGUUCGAAUCCCUCCUCUUCCG
rnacentral:tRNA from 1 species